UACAGAGGGGGCAAGCGUUAUUCGGAAUUAUUGGGCGUAAAGGGCGCGUAGGCGGUUUUUUAAGUCGGAUGUGCAAUCCCUGGGCUCAACCCAGGAACUGCAUCCGAGACUGGAAGGCUAGAGUACUGGAGAGGGUGGUGGAAUUCCUCGUGUAGCGGUGAAAUGCGUAGAGAUCGGGAGGAACAUCAGUUGCGAAGGCGGCUCUCUGGACUAAAACUGACACUGAGGCACGAAAGCGUGGGUAGCAAACAGG
rnacentral:rRNA from 1 species